rnacentral:tRNA from 1 species
ACUUAAUUAGUUUAAUUAAAAGCAUUAGUUUGUGGAACUGAAGAUAUAUAGUAUUAUAUUAGGUA